rnacentral:lncRNA from 1 species
AUCCUGACCACACAGUAUGCAACUUCAGAAGUGCCUGGUUUGUGGACACUGAGUGGCCCUGUCUGUGUGUCAGUGGCUGAACAGGGCCGCAGUGCCCUGAAACAGAUGUAUCACUUGAACCUGUACAGACACUGGGGUAGGGCAUAGGGAUAUCAAGAUGUGUAGGCAACAUUGCUGAACCCUGAAGUCCCUAGGACCCAGCCACAACUGGACCAGAAGCUUCUCAAGCCUUCCAAGAGGUUAGUCCGGAGGAAGGAGGGAGGGAGAAGGAGGAAGGAGGGGAAGGAGCCUGCAGAGGAAAGCAAGAUGCCAUAUAAGGAAU